AACGAUGAACCUCACUUCGGGAGGGGAUUAGUGGCGAACGGGUGAGUAACACGUGGGCAAUCUGCCCUGCACUCUGGGACAAGCCCUGGAAACGGGGUCUAAUACCGGAUACUGACCCGCUUGGGCAUCCAAGCGGUUCGAAAGCUCCGGCGGUGCAGGAUGAGCCCGCGGCCUAUCAGCUUGUUGGUGAGGUAAUGGCUCACCAAGGCGACGACGGGUAGCCGGCCUGAGAGGGCGACCGGCCACACUGGGACUGAGACACGGCCCAGACUCCUACGGGAGGCAGCAGUGGGGAAUAUUGCACAAUGGGCGAAAGCCUGAUGCAGCGACGCCGCGUGAGGGAUGACGGCCUUCGGGUUGUAAACCUCUUUCAGCAGGGAAGAAGCGAAAGUGACGGUACCUGCAGAAGAAGCGCCGGCUAACUACGUGCCAGCAGCCGCGGUAAUACGUAGGGCGCGAGCGUUGUCCGGAAUUAUUGGGCGUAAAGAGCUCGUAGGCGGCUUGUCACGUCGGUUGUGAAAGCCCGGGGCUUAACCCCGGGUCUGCAGUCGAUACGGGCAGGCUAGAGUUCGGUAGGGGAGAUCGGAAUUCCUGGUGUAGCGGUGAAAUGCGCAGAUAUCAGGAGGAACACCGGUGGCGAAGGCGGAUCUCUGGGCCGAUACUGACGCUGAGGAGCGAAAGCGUGGGGAGCGAACAGGAUUAGAUACCCUGGUAGUCCACGCCGUAAACGGUGGGCACUAGGUGUGGGCGACAUUCCACGUCGUCCGUGCCGCAGCUAACGCAUUAAGUGCCCCGCCUGGGGAGUACGGCCGCAAGGCUAAAAC
rnacentral:rRNA from 1 species